GCGUCCCCUAGAGGUGUUGCAGGUGUGGCGGCUGGAUCACGUGCGCAUCAGAAGGUGGCAGAGAGGACAGAGGCUGUGACUGUGCUCAGUGUUCUGACCUGUGAACACCUGCGUGAUCAGCAGCCUAACAUU